GAACAAGUGGAGGUGCAGAUUGGGUUGAAAGAGGGCUUGAGCAUACUGAGAGCUUCUCUUGAAUCAACUUCAGCUUUAACAAAUGGAUUGAUCAUUCCCAUGAAACGAGGUCGAUCGAGAUCCAAUGAAGAAGACACAUGUUUUGAAGAUACUGAGAGCUUCUCUUCAAGGCUUGAUGAUGCUAUGAUUCAUGAUUGAAAUCUUAUGGUAGUUUAUGAUAUUUUUGCCUCCUGGGUUAUUGGACACAACUAUUAUUGUAAGGGAUUAAUUCAAUGUUCAAAAUUCUAGA